UCAUUCAAUACGGCCUUAUUCAACGCAAAAGUGCCGUUUACAAUUCGGCACCCUCCCCACGGAAUAGGGAUUCAACGAAUGGCUGGGUAAAAAAUUAUGUUGAGACUUUCAACUUUACCCUUCUCUUUCUCACGUCUGAAGCAAUCUCUGCUUUUUUCAUUCUUCUUCCUAUUUUAUUCCAAACUUGUCUCCCUCUUUUUCAUGCUUCUGUUAUCACCAACUCUAUCUCCCUUUGAUAAACCCUAACAAGGCCUUCAAUUAAGAUUCAUUUUUUUAACUCCAACCCUUAACAAGGCUUUCGAUUGAGAUGGAAACUUGAGAAGUGAAACAAUCGGCAGUCCUCCCUCAGAAACAAGCACAUUAUGAUUGAUCUUGGCAUCGAUAAUAACAAGAUUAACUGGGCUCUCAAGGACAAACAGGAGUUCGAGACAUCAUUGGGAUCAGAUACCGUGAGGCAUGGAAAGGCCGUGGUUUGAAAGAUUACUCGAAAAAGUACUGCUAUUGAGUAUUCUUCCAACAUGUAGUUGAUCAGAAUGUAAAUUGUAUGUAGAUAUGUGUGUCAUUUGCAAUGUUUGGUUGCAUGAAUGUGGAGGAUAAUCCAAUUUGAGAUGAAACUUUGAAAUAUAUAUUUCAUGUGCUCUUUUGAUGCUUGUUUACAGUA